rnacentral:rRNA from 1 species
AUGUAUGAACAGCAAUAUUCUCAAAUGAACAUCGCGUCCAAACCCAUGUUCCAGAUGUGCGUCAUGGUGGCCUCCCUUCUCAUCACCUCAGGGGAUGUUGCGGCUGCUAGACAACAACAUGCUCGAAUGAGAGGCUUCGUUUUGCAGCGGAUGCUUGUGAUAGCCAACCUCUGGAUAAUAUGCAGCGGCAGUGUUCAGAAACAAGUUCUCCUGCCAGGGUUCAGUGUCUCUGAAAAUGAUUACAUCGAUAAUAAUGGAACUUUUCUGUUGUCCAAUGGCUUCGUAUAUGGCUUCGGCUUUGUAACCAGUAGUGUGUCAGAGAGCUCCUAUCUUCUCUCGGUGGUGCACCUAGCCUCCACUUCUGUCGUCUGGACUGCUAAUGCUAACUCUCCUGUUUCUCAUACGGAUGCCUUUGUGUUCGACAAGGAUGGUAAUGCCUACCUGCGGUCUCAAGGCUCCACUGCCUGGACUGCCAAUCUCUCCGGCAAGGGCGCCUCUAUUCGGCUGCUGGACUCUGGCAAUCUUAUAGUGCUCGGCAAAGACGGCUCUUCUCUUGUAUGGCAGAGUUUGAGCUAUCCAACGAACACACUUUUGUCUGGCCAGAGCUUCACUGAUGGGAUGACACUUGUGAGCCAGUCCAGCACAAACAACAUUAGUUAUACACUUGGCAUCACAUCAGGGGACAUGAGGUUGUACGCAGGCUUCCAGAACCCCCAACCUUACUGGUCUGCUGUGCUGGAUACAAGGUCGUUCGUGGACAUGAAUGGCGACAUCUACUCUUCAAACCUCAAUUCAACUUCGUGGUACUUCUAUGAUAAAUCAGGGUCUCUUCUAUCACGGCUUAACAUUGCGCAGCAGAGUAGUGCCAAUGACACAUUGGCUGUUGUCCUCAGCGACAUUGGAUCCCUUUCCUUCCGCAUCCUCCUACAGAUUGCCGAUGGCACGCGCUACAUGGCUAGUCUCCCAUUCGCAAUCCCGGAGGACUCAUGUGACAUGCCAGCCCAGUGCGACCCCUAUUCCGUUUGCAUUAGUGGAGCAGGAUGCCAGUGCCCGUCAGCACUUAGCACCUUUCCAAACUGCAACCCCUGUCUCAUAUCACCAUGUAACUCAAAAGAGGACUUUCAGCUAGCUCAACUGGAUAGUGGAGUUGGGUAUAUUGGCACUAGGUUCACCCGGCCCUUGGCUAGAACAAAUAUCAUAGGAUGCAAGGAUGCGUGCAUGGGCAAUUGCUUCCUUUUCAACCAGAUCGGUAGUUUGCAGAAGAAAGGUGAAAGGAAACCUGCUUCUGUAUCUUUUAUCAAGGUAUCUAGCACUAACCAUGGCUCGGGGAAAGGUGGGAGUGGCGCCGGGAGGCACACCGUCGUUACUGUUGUCAUUGUGGUCGGACCGUUGGCUGUCAUAGGGGUUCUUGUUUAUGUUGGCUUCAGCAUUUAUCAUCGUCGUCGGAGGCAACCUUCACCCUCACAAGAACAAGACGAUGGGUUUCUCCGGACGAUAUCUGGAGCACCAAUGCGGUUUACUUACACGGAGCUCCGAGGUGCUACAAACAACUUCGCUGACAAGCUUGGUCAGGGAGGAUUUGGAUCCGUGUAUCUCGGAACACUCCCAGAUGGGAGUAGCAUUGCUGUAAAGAAGCUGGAGGGCCUAGGCCAAGGGGAGAGAGAGUUUCGUUCUGAGAUGACAACAAUUGGCAACAUCCACCACGUUCAUCUAGUUAAACUCCGAGGUUUUUGCGUCGAGGGGGCACAAAGGCUUCUUGCGUACGAGUACAUGCCCAAGGGGUCUCUAAACAGGUGGAUUUUGAGUACUAGAGUGGAUGCUCCCCUUCUAGACUGGGAUACAAGGUUUCGCAUUGCACUUGGAACAGCAAAGGGGCUGGCGUACCUCCAUCAGGACUGCGAGUCCAAGAUUAUACAUUGCGACAUCAAGCCUGAGAACGUUCUACUUGAUGACAACUUCCAUGCAAAGGUAGCUGACUUUGGGCUUGCCAAGUUGAUGAGCAGGGAGCAAAGCCAUGUUUUCACCAGGCUCAGAGGCACACGGGGCUAUGUUGCGCCCGAGUGGAUCACCAACUACGCCAUCUCAGAUAAGAGCGACGUGUACAGCUACGGGAUAGUCCUGCUCGAGAUAAUCAGCGGAAGGAGGAGCUUCGACCCCUUGGAAGCCUCGGAGAAGGCCCAUUUCCCACCCUUCGCUUUCAAGAAGCUGGAGGAAGGCGAUCUUCGCAAUAUCGUCGACGCCAAGUUGGCGUACGACGAUGAAGAUGACCGGGUGGAGAUAGCUAUCAGGGUUGCUCUGUGGUGCAUUCAGGAGGAUUUCUCCUGGAGACCUUCCAUGUCGAAAGUUGUCCAGAUGCUCGAAGGCGUCUGUGAUGUGCCGCAGCCACCGACGUCCUCGCAUGUUGUGGACCGGCUCCAUCCGAAUGCUUUCAAGCCGACUGAUACUCUACUUUCAGCUGUGCAGCUGUCUAGUCCCAGAUGA